CCCUGGGUGGUGCAAAUGGUUAACACGCUUGGCUGCACACCAGAAUGUUGGUGGUUCGAGUCCAUCCAGAGGCA
rnacentral:tRNA from 1 species